rnacentral:rRNA from 1 species
CAUGCAAGUCGAGCGAGAAAGGGCUUCGGCCCCGGUAAAGCGGCGCACGGGUGAGUAACACGUAGGUAAUCUGCCCCCAGGUGGUGGAUAACGUUCCGAAAGGAGCGCUAAUACAGCAUGAGACCACGUCUUCGAAAGAGGAUGGGGUCAAAGCCGGCCUCUUCAUGAAAGCUGGCGCCAGGGGAUGAGCCUGCGGCCCAUCAGCUAGUUGGUAGGGUAAUGGCCUACCAAGGCGAAGACGGGUAGCUGGUCUGAGAGGAUGAUCAGCCACACUGGAACUGACACACGGUCCAGACUCCUACGGGAGGCAGCAGUGGGGAAUCUUGCGCAAUGGGCGAAAGCCUGACGCACCGACGCCGCGUGAGUGAUGAAGGCCUUCGGGUUGUAAAGCUCUGUGGAGGGGGGCGAAUAAGGGUUGGCUAACAUCCAACUCGAUGACGGUACCCCUUUAGCNAGCACCGGCUGACUCUGUGCCAGCAGCCGCGGUAAGACAGAGGGUGCAUACGUUGUUCGGAAAUUACUGGGCGUAAAGCGCGCGUAGGCGGCUUUUGUAAUUUAUAGGUGAAACCCCGGGGCUCAACUCCGGAGCUGCCUUUUAAGACUGCAUCGCUAGAAUCCAGGAGAGGUGAGUGGGAUUUCCGAGUGUANAGGUGAAAUUCGUAGAUAUUCNGAAGAACGCCAGUGGCGAAGGCGCUCCCUGCACUGGUUUUGACGCUGA